CUUUUAUUCAUCAAAUAUAUUAGACAGCAGAACUGUUUCCAACACUCAUAAUAAAUCAGAAUAUUAGAAUGAUUUCUAAAUGAUCAUGUGAUAGACUGGAUGUUACAUGUGACACUGAAGGCUGGAGUAAUGAUGCUGAAAAUUCAGCUUUGCAUCACAGGAAUAAAUUAUUUUUUUAAAGUAUAUUCAAAUAGAAAACUAUUAUUUUAAGUUGUAAUAAUUUUUCACAAUAUUACUGUUUUUUCUGUAUUUUUGAUCAAAUAAAUGAAGGCUUGAUGAGCAGAAGAGACUUCUUUCAAAAACAUUAAAAAUAGUAAUGUUUCCAAACUUUUGACCUAUUUCUUGCAAAAAAAAAAUCUGUAGUCAGAAUAUAUGGCUAAUUUUAAAUAGCUGUCAAUCAAUCUUCCUUCUUUCCUUCCUUCCUUGGCAAACCUGGCACCAUGCAUUAGUAAACUAAACGAACAACAUUAAAUGCAUCAAACAAUUAACAAAACAUCUAGCCCCUAAGCUCCUACAUGUGCAAAAGCAAGUGAAUGUGUCUGAAGACUUAAAAUGACCAAGUGUACAACUUCUAAUCUCAAGAGGCAGAUUAAUCCAAAAACGAGGAGAAAGUCUGACAUAGGCUAUAUUGAGGAGCUAGGCCAUUCAGAAUCUUAAAAACAAAUAAGAAAACCUUAAACCUCACCCUAUAACAAACUGAGACCAAAGAGGCCUGCGCUGGAAAAACAACCUGUUUUAUAGUCACAUUCAGAAGCCUAGUUUCUGCAUUUUUUUUUUUAUAAUACAUAGCAGUCUUUUAGUUAGUUUUUGAUGGUAAUGCAACUCCGAUCUACCUAAAUGCGUUUAUGUUUGCGCAAAUCAUUUUACUCCAGACUAAGGCAGGUUUUGUUAAUCUCAAGAGUUAAAACUCAAGGAUAUAUCAGUACCCACUGUUCAUGAUUAGGGCUGAACCAUUAAUUGCAUUUGCGAUAGUAUUGCGAUAUGAAAAAACGCGAUUUUUUAAUGGCAGAGGCUGCGAUUACAAUCGGUCACGAGACACGCGAGAGUAAACAGAUGUGUUCGACUGAACUUGAAAAUCGAUCAGUCUAUGACAUCAAAGUACGGUGAGAGAAAGCAUAAGGAGACGUCCGCUUUCUUAUGGUUCUCACAGUACUUUGAUGACACACACCGAUCGGUCUGAUCAGCGCUGCUUCAAGUCGCACACAAGCAGAGGAAGCAUCAAGUUGGCACGCUACAGUGUUGCCAAGCCCGCGGUUUGUAGAACCCCUCCAUAAAACGUGUAUUUUACCCCCUGGAAUAACGGUGGAUCCCCCUCGAAACACGAUUGGGCUAGUUUUGUGAAAACCUGGCAACCCUGGCACGCUACACGCAGAAAUGUUUGAAAGCGUAUAUAAUAAACGUACUUCAAAACGGCUCAUUGAAAUUACUCAAGCAGUAACAGUGUUACGGUGCAUUUCAUUAAUGGAGACUUCGACCUUUAAAAAUAUAUAUGUAAUAAGUUAAUGUAUAUGUUCUUAUUUAUUUAUUUAAAGUCUUUCUGAAGCAGUGGUUCUCAAACUGUGUGGCGCACGGGCCAUCAGCAGAAAAAGAAAAGAAAUAAAACCGUAAACAGCCAAAGGAGUCGGACGUAACUUAGAAUGGGAGAUGGAUCGGUUUGUGAAAGGAAAGAGAAAGCCAUAAAUGAUGUCGCACAGACCCAGGCAGAUCUGGUCAUUCAAAAGCUAAAUGCAGAAAAUAUGACGCGGCAUAUCUUGCUCUCGGCUUCACUCACGGUGUCUUUACCGGGCGCUGCAGGUGUCGCACUACAGUCACGCUAUCUGCGCUUCAAGUUCAUUGCGCGUCUACUCGACGGUGCGGGGUAGAUUAAGGUGCGAGCGUGUUCAAUGCGCUACAGUCUUCUUAAGUAAAUCCUCCUUCGGUUGUUAUAUUUAUUCGUAUUCAUAUUCACGGCCUUCUAUUUAAGUUUUCACCAUUUAUUUUAUUAUAAUUAUGUGUUUUUAUUUAUGUAUUUUUGCGUUCAAAGCUGUAUACUUUUUCCUUUUAUUAUGUGGAAUUUGGAUUAUGUUUUGUGCAACUGUCUUUUUAUUUACAGUUACAUUAUUCUAGAUCAGUUGGAUCCAUGGAUUUUUUUUUUUUUAAGAAUGACGGAAUUCAUUCACGUUUUAAGUGUUAUAAGUGCAUGUUAUCAUUCAAUGUGUACCUGCUGUUGUACUGUGUAUCCUGCUUGUGUGGAGAAAAUCAACAUAAAGUGAGAGGGGGGGAAUUAUUAAAAAGGACAAAACCAAACUGUUUUCAUGUCAUUUCACUGUUUCAUUAUUUAAUGCAUGAUAAAAUAAAGAACAAAAUAAACAAAAAUAAAAAAAAUCUAAUUGUUUUUGUUGUACAUGUCCAUACAUACCACUGUGGUGAUUUUCAUAUUAUUUUACUGUAUCAUUCUUUAAUAAUUGCAUGCCAAAAUCAUGGAAAAUGCCUGCUUUUUCACUAUACAGUCAUAUUUGAAAAUUCAUAAUAAAUCAAAAUCA
ensembl:lncRNA